UACUAAAAAUAACAUGGGGUUUGCUUAUCACUUGUGUAAUAACCAUGUAUAGGGGGAAAUAUAUGGAAAGCAAGCAAAAACGAACAGAGUUUUGCAGUAGUAGUUCUGAGAUAUGUGAAAAGUGCGGGUGGAAACAACCAAAAUGGUUUUAUAAGGUUUUGGCAUUUGCCAGAAAUAGCUCAUUCUUUAUCAACCGGCAGAUUUUCUUUUUCAACCGGCUCAUUCUUCAGCAGGCACGCGGUCAGCCGAUCCCUUUCCUUUCCUUUGAGUUGUUGGCCAUAAAACGAAAGCAAGCGAUAUGAUGCUGUAACUUUAAGCAAGUACCAAAAUUUAAAACGAGUGAACCGAAGACCAAACUAAAGCCGUCCCAAAGUCAUCUCCCAAAGUAACCAAAUUCCAAUGUGUAGCUGCCUUACGUGUCUUGAGAUAGAAAAGAGAAGCGACGCGGUUUGCAAUUUCUCAAGAGCAACAACGAACAUGGAUUUUGCUACGAUAAUAUCAUUUUUUUAUGAAUUGUGAUGUGUCAUUAUUACUUAUUACACUUGGCAACUGUAAAAUCCAUAUUUUCAUUAGCACGAUCCGAUGAUGCAGAAAACAUAUACGAUGAACGACAUUUUGGAGUGAAACGAUAUUAUUGGUAUAUGAAACAGUAUUAAGAACAAUAUUGAA